rnacentral:rRNA from 1 species
UACGGGGGGGGCAAGCGUUGUUCGGAAUUACUGGGCGUAAAGGGUUCGUAGGUGGCCUACUAAGUCAGACGUGAAAUCCCUCAGCUUAACUGGGGAACUGCGUCUGAUACUGGGGGGCUUGAGUGCAGGAGAGGAACGCGGAAUUCCAGGUGUAGCGGUGAAAUGCGUAGAUAUCGGGAGGAACACCAGCGGCGAAGGCGGCGAUCUGGGGCGAUACUGACGCUGAGGUGCGAAAGCGUGGGGAGCAAACAGG